rnacentral:rRNA from 1 species
GAGUUUGAUCGUGGCUCAGGACGAACGCUGGCGGCGUGCUUAACACAUGCAAGUCAAGGGGUAGCAAUACCACUGGCGCACGGGUGAGUAACGCGUAGAUUAUCUGCCCCUAUCUCCGGAAUAACAUCAAGAAAUUGGUGCUAAAAACGGAUGAGGCACAAUGUGUCAAAGGUAACGGAUAGGGAUGAGUCUGCGUCUGAUUAGCUAGUUGGUGAGGUAACGGCUCACCAAGGCGACGAUCAGUAGCUGGUCUGAGAGGACGAUCAGCCACACUGGAACUGAGACACGGUCCAGACUCCUACGGGAGGCAGCAGUGAGGAAUUUUGCACAAUGGAGGAAACUCUGAUGCAGCGACGCCGCGUGCGGGAUGAAGGGGCUUUGCCUUGUAAACCGCUGUCGGGUGGAAAAAAGUUCCCUCGGGGACUGGGAUUGUACCACCAAGGAAGGACCGGCUAACUACGUGACAGCCGCCGCGGUAAC